rnacentral:rRNA from 1 species
UACAGAGGGGGCGAGCGUUGUUCGGAAUUACUGGGCGUAAAGGGCUCGUAGGCGGCCAACUAAGUCAGACGUGAAAUCCCUCGGCUUAACCGGGGAACUGCGUCUGAUACUGGAUGGCUUGAGAUUGGGAGAGGGAUGCGGAAUUCCAGGUGUAGCGGUGAAAUGCGUAGAUAUCGGGAGGAACACCAGUGGCGAAGGCGGCUAGCUGGCCUGUAACUGACGCUGAGGCGCGAAGGCGUGGGGAGCAAACAGG